GUAUUUCUACAUAGCUGCUUUGGCUGUGGGUCAGAGAGAGAGAAGGGAAAUGACUUUUUACGGGGGUGAAAUUUCUCCAGGCAGGAGUGGGACAUCAUCUUGCCCCUCCCCAGAGCCCUGCAGGCGCAUGGGAGUAGCUCAGUGCCGGCCCAGUUCUCUGAGAAAUAACAACGCUUGGGAGGUUCGAAUGUUGAUAACAACUCUCCUGUCUCCUGGUAGCAGUCCUAGGCAGAGGAGGGAAAAAUGGAACUUGUGUUAUUCAUGGAAAACUUUCUGCUGUUUCUUGUGCAGAGUUUUAGAUCUUUGUAUGAUUUGCUAUCUGGUGUCUGUAGGAAGAGAAUGACUUAUUUGAGGUAAAAAUUGAGAUAAUCAGUAAUGGACAGGUAGGGAAAACUUUUGAAGUAAACUCGAGGUGACCUGUAGUGGAGAGCAUGAAGAUUUUGAAGUAAACUAUAGCAAUCAGUUGUGCACAGAUAGGGAAACCUUUAGGGGUAAAAUACAAGGUCAUUUCUAGGUGAGGGAAUGAACACUUUUUGAGGUAAACUGAGUGAAUCAGUUGUGGAAGUAUUAGUAAAUUCUGGGGGUGAAACUUGAUGUAACCUCCAUGGUAGAAAAGAAAUCAAUCUUUUGAGGUAAAAAGGAAGUAAUCAGUGUUGGAGAGGCAGGGAGAUUUUGAGGGUAAACUUGAGUCUGUAGUGCAGAGAAUGAACAUACUGAAGUUAAAUGGAGGUAGUAACUUGCAGACAGGGAAAAAAUUUGGGGGUCAAGUCUGAGGUAAUCUCUAGGGGAGACAACACUUUUGAGGUAAACUGAGGCAAUCACUAGGUGACAGGUUGGAAAAGUUUUGGGGGGUAGAAAUUAAAAUGACCUGUUGGGCAGAGAAUGGACAUACUGAGGUGAAAAUCAGGUAAUAAGUAGUGGACAAGUAGCAAUAAUUUUGGAGGUGAAAUCUGGGGUGAAGUGUGGCAGGGAGAGCGUACAUCAUGAGGUAAAGUGAGACAGUACUGGAAAGAUAGUGAAAUAUUUCAGGGUAAAACUUGAUGAAAUCUCCAGGGUAGAAAGAGAAUGUUUAUAGGUCAAAAAGAGUAAAUAGUUAGUGGGCAGGUAGGGAAAAUACUGGGGGUAAAAUCUGAGGUUAUCUCUAGGGGGAGAGAAUGAACAUACUGAGGUAAAAAUCAGGCAAUGAAUAGUGAAUGUUAGGGAAAUUUUGGGGGGUAAAACUGGAGCUAGUCUCCAGAGUAGUGAAUGAAUACUUUCUUGUAAAAAAGAAGAAAUCAGAAGUGGACAAACAGGGACAGCUUGGAGGGAAAAUCUGAAGCAAUCCCCAGGGAAGAGAAUGAACAGCAUGAGGUAAACUGAGGUAGUCACUUGCACAGACACAGUGAAAAUUUUGGGGAUAGACACUGAGACAUUCUCGAGGAUAGAGAAAAUUACUUUUUGGGGUAAAAAUGGGAUGAUGGGUAGGGCAAAGCUUGUGGGAAAAACUUGAAAUAAUCUGUAGGAAAGAGCAUGAGCAUUUUGAUGGAAAAAUGAGAUAUUUAUUCUUUACUUCCCCUUGGGAUAACUUAAUCUGCACCUUUCCAUGAGCAAUUCCUUGGCUUCUCCUGGAGAAAACCCCACGGCAGAGGUAGUCUGCAAAGGAGCCAAAAUCAAGAGCAAAAGUUGGUUUGGGUUUGAGCACUUGAAAUAACUUUUGAAAGAGAAGCAAUAACCUUUUGCUGCUUCUUUCUUUCUUGCAGAUGCUGGGAUUGCCUCUGUGGACAUGUGCUGAGCUCUCCCUGCAGGGAACUGUCAGCCCUGAAUGUCUGUGCAAUAACUCAGAGCCUCAGCCAUGAAGGGCCAGGCUGUGUUUAAAACAGCCCAAGGUGCCAGAGAGCUGGAGUAAUUUCCUAGCAGGAGCACUCGUGAGAAGUUUCCCAUUUGGAGUUGGGCUCCAAAAGGAAGGAACUUGAAACCGCUUCUUCUGAUAAAUCCGUAAGUAUGGGAGGCCCUAUGAAGCCCACGGGUGUAAGCAGCCAAUAACUCCCACGAGUAUUUUAACUACUAAAAAUAGCAACUUUUAUUUCUUCUGCACACAAACGACUUGGCUGUCCUGUUCAGGGUUCACUGAGGCUGUGAAUUGCAAUCCAGGGCAUCUUCAGGCUCCUGGUGCUCGGGACUGUGGCGUUUGGUGUGCAGAAAACAUCCCAGGCUGUCCAGCUUGGGUGUGGAUGUGCAUUUCCACAGUUCCUCAGAGUGGGAAAAGGCCAAGAGGGUGAUGGGAAGGCCUUUCUUCUAGGCCUGGGCAUCCUCAAGACACCUCAAGGAUGUUUUUUAAAUGUUUGUUGUCUUUUGUUUCCCAGCCCAGGGCUGAGCUGGAGAACGGGUGGAGACAGUGGCAAGCGGGAGUCCCAUGUUUACAUCUGCCCUUGGAUUCCACUUUCUUCCAGUGGGUCUGUACUGCCCGAAGUACAAAGGAAGGAGGUGUUGGAGUACCUGUUUGUUCACCUGUUGAGCUUGGAAGAGAUGCUGAGUGUGAAAUUCCAGGGGUGCCGGCUCCUUGUGAGCUGUUGGUUGCUCAGGAGAUUGGGUCGGGGAAAGGGGGGGAGAGUCCGAGCACAGCACAGUGGUAGGAGCUGGGUUUGCAUCUCAAUCUAAGGCAUCUCAAAGCCUGAUAAGCUGGAAAGAAGACUUUGCUGUGUUAAUGCACAAUUACAUUUUUGUGCAAUUUUUUGAAAUUAGGGCUGAGAUCAAUCUGGGGAGGUUAUCUGGCCCAAUUCCCUGUGCCCUGCUUUGCCAUGAGGAAUGGAUGCCUGACCUCUUUGCAGAGAGCUGCUGCUGCUAAAGAUUUCUCAGUUUCUAUAGUGAAUUUAUCCCAGUACUUUGCUGCUAUAAAGAAGUCUCCUCUUGCUGCCAUUUCCCCUUAUUACAUUUAAGAUCAGCUCCAGCUGAGUUAGAAUUUAAUCCCAACCUUUUCCCCCUUUUUUUUUUCCCAAGAGGCCUCAGCUAUCUCGCUAUUUCUUUCCUCUCUCACCCUCCAGGUCCUGUUUUUCAGACCUCGUUCUUUCCUUAUAAAACCCUUGAUAACCCAUUCCCCACUUAAGGCUUUGUUGUAUCCUUGUUUUGCUACCUUCUGGGUGCUGUGGAUGAAGGUCUGGCUUUGAGGAGCACACCCUGCUCCCUUUGCUCAAGGGAUUGCAGUUAUUCCAAUCUUCUGCUGCUGAGGGCUUCCUUAGGCUCUUGCUGAAAUGAAAAAUAUCCAGGAAGCUUUUCCUUUUUUGAGAUUAGACUGGUUUCUGCAGGUCCUUGAGAUGUGACCAUGAUGGUUAAAAACCCGCAGUGCAAAUGAAGGUUUCUCCCGUCUUCCCCCCUGCCCCCUACCUGCUCCAUGCACAGUUCAUUACUUUGUAAUCACAACUACUAAGGAAACCUUUCUAAUCUUGUCAAUUGGCAAUGCAACUGCUUUUAAAUUCUGGUUUAAAAUAGGUUUUGAAGUCAGGCUCUGCCCUUGCUAUUGAUUUGAAUUCUUGACUGAGUAAAUUAUUGGUGCUUAACAA